rnacentral:lncRNA from 1 species
UGUUAUUCAUAUCUACUCGAUCAUAUCCAAAACCACAAAAUUUAUCUCUGUAAAACCAUCUUGCAAUAAUUGAGGAGAUGAUGGAGGACCAGUCAGCGACAUGAGCGACGAGUGUCGUUGGUGGAGGCGCAACGAACAGCAGGUGAUAGGACCACCAAUGUGAGUGAGAGCAGCAACGUGAGCGGAGGGUACAACUAGCGAUAGGUUACGGGAACAACGAGCGACUGGCGAUAGCAAGCAACGAGCAACAAUGAGCAAUGGGCAACGACAAGCAACAAGUGACGGUGAGCAGCAGGUGAUGACGAGCAGUAACCUUUUGGUGAUUUUUUAUUUUUUUAAUUUUUUAUAAUUGGAUUUUAUUUAUUUUGACUUUUGUUAGAUUUGUUAAUUUUUGUUAGAUUUAUUGAAUUUGAAUCUUAAAUCUCUUGAAAUUUUUAUUUGUUUAUGUAGAUUGAGUUUGUGAUUUUAAUUAUUUUUUUGAUUUGUGGAUAAGUUUUUGUUGCUUCAUUUCUUUAAGAGAGAGACCUCUAAUUUUGAUAAAAUUAAACUUUUGGGACUAAAGUGUUAGAUUUUAAAGAGGAUAGUUAGGUCAUGUCUCCUUUCAUUAAUGGUAUUUUUUUAUAUGGAUGACCUCUAAUUUUUACGGAAUUAAAGUUGAGGGAUUGAAAUGUUAGGUUCAAAAUAGAGAGGGCCAAAUUCAUUAAUUAUACUACAUCUCAAGGACAAAAAAAUAAAUUUUCCAAUGCAAUUAUGUAUUAUAGGAACCAUUUAUUAAUUUGACCAGAUUAAUUAACCUGCAUGCAAGCUAGGCUUAAGCCCCUUUGUCUCUUCCUCCAUUUGCUCCAUUGGACUUGCAGUCUCUUGAUCCGAAGCCUUUGGACUGUCUUCUUCAUCUGGCGUGUGGAUUGUUUCAAAUCAGAGAAGGUAAUUACUGGUCCAUCUAGUUCUGCAGUUCAGGAGAUUCUUGGUAUUACUCUAUCUUCUCUGUUAUAUUCUCAGUUAACUCAUUGCUCUCUUUGAUGCCAGAACUAACUAGUUCUAGUUUGUUGAUGUGGUGGCUUCUGAGACUUGUUCACUUUUGGCUCGUCCUUCUGUUAAUAAGGCAAAACAUCGUGCUUGUGAUAAGGGUGUUUUGUCUUCUCUUGGAUCGAUAAUUUCUUUGGCAUCUCUUGUCUUUCCUUCUAGGGAUCAUCUUGUUAUUGGUUCAUCUUCAGAGGCUUCGGUGGCUGGCUAGCAGCCACCCCAGAUGCCAUGAUGACCUUAGUUUGGAAUUGUCAUGGAAUUGGGCAUUCUCUGACAAUUUGGGCUCUUUAGGAGCUUCUGUGUAAAUAUCGCCCGGCUAUAGUUUUUCUUAUGGAGACUAAGAAUAAAUAGAGUUUUAUGGAAAAACUCCAAGGGCAAUGUGGGUACCCUUAUACUCUUUUGUUGAUCCUAUAAGUCGUGCUGGUGAUUUAUCUUUAUGGUGGGAUAAUUCUAUACCAUUAACACCAAUUUAGUGGUCUAAAAAUUUUAUACAUUGUAGAGUAUCUAAUAUACAGUAUGUUCCUUUGGCUUAUUUUACUUUUGUUUAUGGUUGCUUUGACCAUCGACUAUUUUUUUGGAAUCUUUAUUUUGACUUCGUCCUACAUCUUCUCCUUGGUGCUGUAUUGGAGAUUUAAUGUCCUUCGUUUCCAAGUGGAUAAAUUUGGUGGUAGUAAUGAGUUCAUCUUAAGUGCAUUUGUUUAAUGAUUUUAUCCACUUUUGUGAAUUAUUGGAAGUGACGAGUAAAGGAUCUCCUUUCACUUGGUUUAAUAAGCAUUUUAGUACUUUUGCCAUUCAACAACAAUUAGAUUAGGCUUUGGUUUCUACGAAAUGGCAGGAGAGUUUUUCUCAUACUCAAUUACUUCAUUAGUCUUUACUUGAAUAUGAUCAUCGCGCGCUUGUCUUGCUUUUGCAUUCCCUUUCUCAUAUACGAUCCUUUUUGUUUCAUUUUGAAGCACAAUGGUUGUUACAUCCACAAUAUGGCAGUAUUUUUCAACAGGCCUUGUGUGCUCCUCAUCAGGGUUCAUCUAUGUUUUCUCUAGUGUAGAAAUUACACAGUUGUCGGACCUCCUUUACUCAUUGGAAUGGUACUACCUUUAAAGGUUCUUGAGCUCUUUUACGUUCCCUACGACAAAAAUAAGAGGAGGUGUAUUCUCACCCUUUCGAUCUUGCUAAUUCUGGUGUGGCGGCUAAAUUAACUACAGACAUUCAUGACUUGUGGCAACAAGAUGAACUUCAUUGGCGACAACGAUCUCAUAUUCAAUAGUUGCAAGCUAGCAAUCGUAACUCCAAAUUCUUUCAUCUAUCUACCAUCCCACAAAGUUAGAGAAAUUAUAUUAUUCGGCUCCAAAAUGAAGCUGGAGUCUGGGUUGAAAGUUAAGAUCUUAUUUGUCGGGAUAUUAGAAAUUUUUUUCAAUAGUUGUAUACAUCUACUUUGUUAGCGAAUCCUUCUAUUGUUUUAUCUUUGAAUUCGUGACUUGUUACUACUGAUAUGAAUGAGCAGCUUUUGGCAUCGAUUACAAAUAAUAAAGUGUGACUUGCGAUUUUUAAUCUGGGCAAAGAUAAGGCUUCAGGUCCAGAUGGUUUUUUCAGGUUCCUUUUUUCAGCAUCACUGGGACGUUAUUGGUCACAAGUUGGGUCAAGCUAUGCGUAGGUUUUACACUUCGAGUUAUUUUUUGAAGGAAUUAAAUCGUACAAAUAUUGUUCUGGUGCCAAAGUGUCAUUGCCAAGAUACUCUCUAACAAUAUCGCCCGAUUAGUUUGUGUAACUUUGUUUAUAAGGUCAUUUCUAAAAUGAUGGUGCACCGUCUUAAGCCUUUUAUGGACUUUUUUAUUCCUUCUAAUCAGGCAGCUUUUAUCCCUUCUCAUGCUAUCCAAGACAAUAUAGUUAUUGCGCAUGAAGCUUUUCACUUUUUGAAAACUUCUAAUUAGAAACAUCAUUCCCUAGCAGUUAAAUUAGAUAUGUUCAAAACCUAUGAUCAAGAUGAUUGGGGUUUAUUGCAUUUUGUAUCGUUACAAAUGGAUUUUGCUGAAGCUUGGGUUCAGUUAGUUAUGCAAUAUGUUUUGACCAUUAGUUUUUCCAUCUUGGUCAAUGGCAAUCCUACAACUCCUUUUUCUCCUUCAUGUGGGCUUCGUCAAGGAGAUCCUUUGUCCCUUUAUUUGUGUCUCAAGUUCAUUCUUACUUAUUGGCUGCUGCCAAGUCAAAUGGUGGCUUCAUGGCAUCAAGCUCUCACAUUUUUCUUCGGCUAUUACCAGUGUGUUGUUUGUUGAUGAUAUUUUACUUUUUUUUGAAAGCUACUGAUAGAGCAUAAUUUAACCCAUUUUAUCCUAAUGUUAUUGAUGUUUAUUUACACCAUUUCUGCCUAAUUUUGUGGUUUCAAUCAUGUUUUGCAGAUAAUAGGUGUAAAGAGACAAUCUGGUGAAAAUGCUCUUAAAACUGCCAAAAAGUGCCAAAUAUGGAAAGUGCCAAAAAAGGAAAGUUUUCAAAUAAGGAAAGUUUUCAGAAAAGGAAAGUUUUCAAAUAAGGAAAGUGCAGAAGCAAAAGCAAAUAAGGAAAGCUCAUUCAGAAGAUUAUUUGAAAUUCAAAUCGCAGAUCUUUCUUUCCUUAUUCAAAGAUAUGCACACACUGCAGCAGUCAUAUCUUCCUAUUUAGGCAGCAAGAUUUCAUGAAGACGCACUUGCCUCUUCUGCAUUCAGCAUUCAAAAUUCAAAUGAAGGCUCAACCUAAAAAGGAAAGACUGGACAAAUUCACUUUCCCUUCUGUACAUCCAUCCGCGCGCACCAACUUCCCUCUACAGAGCAUCCGCACGCACCUCUUGCCUUCUGAAGAGCUUGCAAUGCGAUUCUUUCCUUUUCAGACACAACUUGGGUAGCAAGCACCUCUUGGGCAGCAAGGGCAGCAUUUAAGGAUCUAGGGUAACACUUUCAACUAUAAAAAGACACAUAAGGAGCCUCCCCACAGCUUUUUCAAGACCCUCUUGGAUACACCUACGGGAUUGCAAAUGACACCAUCUCUUCUUCUUCCUUUCUUUAUUUUUUGAUUUUUGAUUCAGCUAUGAGUGGCUGAAACCUUUUAUUCUAGUUGAAGAUUGGUUGAAAUUUUGGUUGUUUUAUGGAUUGUGAGAUCUGAACACACAUUGUUUGUCUUUUGGUUAUUCAAUAUUCAUACAGUUCAUGCUUGAUUCUAUUAUUGCUUUGUUAUUUUGAUCAAAUUGGUCACUUGAUUCUUGAUUGCAAGGUAAUAUAUUGUUAGUUUGGAUAAUUUUAAGUCCGUAAUUGCUUUGAUUAUCCAAACAUAAGAACACUUGGUGUGAAAACUAAGGAAAUUGUAUGAUCUAGCAACAUCUCAUGCGUUUGAGUAGUUAGGAUUGGAUCUCUCUCUGUCUUCAUGCAGUUAACAAUUGUUUGAUGCCUAAGGCCUAAGGACGUUCCUUGACAAUUUGUUAAUUAGUAAUUAAUUAGAGGACGUUCCUUAAUUGGUUUAAUCAUAAGGAGAGACAUGGUGGUGAGAAGCGUUUUCCAUCUCCAUAACCAAUCUAUUGAAUCAAUCAAAAGAACAUAAGUUUCAAUGAUCAAUCCAAACACCUGAAGUGGAUCAAACUCUUCAACUAGACCUUUCUGAUAUUUGAUUUACCUUUUAUUUUACUAUUCGCUUAUUUAAUUGCUUUCAGUAGUUGCUUAAUCAAAUCAAUCUCAAAACCCCCCAUUUUAAUUUUAUUGCACUUUAUUUUCAUUUUGUUUUCAGUUAAUUGAUUUCAGUUUCUCAUUCAGUUAAUUCUUUUGGUCUUGUUAAGAAAAAUAGAUAAGUUUUCAAUUCUCUGUGGAUUCGAUCCUUUACCACUAUCUGCAGUAGUAAUAUUGUUGAUAACCAGAAAGGUUAUUUUUGACCGGCUUCGACAACCGCGAAUAAAAAAUUGGCACUGUUGUCGGGGAGUUGAUUUAACUUGUUUGUUUUUCUUUCAGGACCAAAUCAGGAACAAAGCACCACCGAAUCUGCCUCUGAAGAAGCCACCAUCGCAGAUCUCUUCUAAAACAUCUCCAUCGCACAUCUCACCCUCUCUUCGCCAUUCGGAUUGCCCAUCCUUUCAUCAAAGCAAGUCACCAUCGCAGAUCUGAAUCAUGGAUGAGGUAAGUACAUCUGUUCUCUAUUCUCAACUCACAUCUGUUAUGAAAGAUUUUGCCAUAGGAAUAGUUCGACAGGUUCAAGCAUUCCAGCCACCUAGGCCAUGUGGGAUUUGUGCAUAUGUGGGACACCCAAUCGAUCAAUGUCCUACACUUUAUGAGUAUAACCAAUCAGUGCAUGCAUUUGGAGGAUUCUAUGAACAGCCAAGACAUGAUCCCUACUUUAACACAUACAAUUCAAGUUGGGGAGACCAUCCAAACUACGGUUAUGCUGGAGCUAACAAUUACCAAAAUUAUCAGGGAUAUCAAGCCCAACCAGCACCUCCAAGUACCAAGCAGCACCUUGAGAAGAUGAUGGAGACAUUGGCAAGUUCUAUGCAAAGCAUUCAAUAGCAGAUAGAACAAAUGACCACCUCAUUAAAUGCAAUCAUGUUAAGAAAAGAGGAAGAGUUUCAAGAUGAUGAGACAGAUGAUGAAAGUUCGCAAGUACAAGAACAAGCUGCUGAAGAGAAACAACCAGAAUACUGUUUGUCCAAACAAACUGGUCAAAUAGAACCUGUUGAUAGUUUAGAUAUCAUUGAUUAUUUGAGAAAAGAUGUUUUUUAUAUGAAUCAAGAUGAUAUUCUGAACAAUGAUCUUUGCAGGAAAAAGAGCCAGAAAGAGCCAUAACUAAAAGAAACUGACUAUUGCAUCCAACAGAUGGACUGCAGCCAUGCACAGAAUGAACAGAACCAAACCGCACCACUUCAGCUUGGUGCGAGAUCAACCUUGCAUAGACAGAGAGCAUUCCAGGUACGCCUCUUCAGCUUGAACUGCAAGACAGUCAUCCCUUUCAGGUAAGUCUUGCGCAGAAAGAGAAACCGAAAACCAAUUCAGCCAGACAGCCAACACAAACAGCCCAUGCUCACAAGGAACAAGUGGAAGUCCAAGAGCCCAAACCAAAGGAGCAUGCGGAUCAAUGCCUUCCCAAACCUCUGGAUAAGGUAGAGUUUGUUUUGCCUGAAUUCAGUACUAAAUUGCAGCUAGCUAUGGAGAAAUAUGAAUUGAAGUUGGAAAUGCUCAAGAAUGCAAAUAUGAGAGCUAGAGGCACACCUCAUCUGAAAGAGGAGAAGCUAAUCAUGUUACUUUAUGAGUACAUGAAAAAAGUAGGAUGGGUUAUGACCAAAUCAAAAGGAGUGCUACACUUUCUUCUCAAUUCAGUUGGGACUCUUUUCUCUUCCCCAAUUACUUGAGCCUUGAUCAAGGGGAUCGCACCAUGCACACCACACCCAGGGGAGUACUCAGUUUUCUUUUGCAUUUUAAUAUUUUCUAUACAUUGAGGACAAUGCAUAAUUUAGGUGUGGGGGUGCAUAUCUCUGAAUCUUUUCCUUUCAGCCUUUCAGUUUUUGCGAAUUUUUUUUCCUUUCAGUUUUUUUUUGCGAUUUUUCUUCUUUUUUUUCUUUCAGUUUAUGCUUUUUUUUUUCCUUUCAGUUUUCUUUUAGUUUGUUUUUGUUUUUGCUUUCAAUAAUAUACAUAACCACAAUCUUCUUCUUUUUGAUUGCUCUACUCAAACUGAUAGACUAUGUUGAAUGAGCUUUUCUUUCCAUGACCCCAUUGAUGUGAUGACACUUUAAACUUAUGUUGAAUCAAUUGCAGUGAGUUGUAUUCAUGUUUGAGAAUUACCUUUUGAAUUGAAUCUUUGAGCUUGCCAUGGUGAAAAAUGUAUUGAUGACACUCAUUAGAGAGAAUGAAUUGAAAUUUGUGUGAAUAAACUUAAUAUGACUUGUUUUAGCAAUUGGUGUUGAUUUGCCCAAUGCAUUGAUCAAAGAAAUUCAGCAAAGGCUUAGACUUCAUAAGCACAAUUGAAAACUGUUCGAAUGGUUGAAAGACUAUGAACAGAGCUAGUAGCCACUUGGACAGGUGACCAACUGAGUAACUGGGGGUGGGUAUCACCAAUAUGUACCUUCACGUCAAAAGGUUGGUGACUUUUUGAAGCAAAACUUAAGUGCAAAAGGCUGAAUAUAGUACUUUAAGGUAAGGAUAAAUCACUCUGAAAGCUAGAAAAAGUCUUAACUGAAUAAGAACAUGUGCAUGUGUAAUCUCACUCUUGAGGAAAACAAAUCCUAACCAUGGUAAGUAAAGGGAAAUAAGGAAAGAAUGUGAGUAAUCUUCAUGCAUAUAUUCUUCACUGCAAUGAUUCAAAAUAGGUGUCUUGAGUAAGAGUUUAAGUGGAAAUAAGGAUCAAGUAGCAAAGAAAGCUUGUUUGACUAAGUUUAUUUACUUGAGGACAAGCAAAAGGCUAGGUGUGGGGGUAUUUGAUAGAGCAUAAUUUAGCCCAUUUUAUCCUAAUAUUAUUGAUGUUUAUUUACACCAUUUCUGCCUAAUUUUGUGGUUUUAAUCAUGUUUUGCAGAUAAUAGGUGUAAAGAGACAAUCUGGUGAAAAUGC